CAGGUGCUCGGAGAAAUAUGAACUGGGUUGUGUGGCUCGAGGUGAGGCUCCAAUGGAAGGCAGUAAAGGGGCGCAUAGGCCACAUGAUGGAGUAUGGACUUUAUCCUGAAGGCAAUGAGGAACCGCUGAAGGAUUUCGUAUCAAAUCAGAAGUUACUUUAGUAGGAAACAUUCAUCACCUUUUCUAUAUUAUGAAAUGUAAACACUGCAGUGUUACACGGUUGCUUGCAUCUGUAGAAUCAGAGCCUUGGAUAUGGAGGAACCAUGGAUAUGGAGGGCCAACUGUUUAUAAUUUCUGUAGAGUUGGCAAGUUCUCCUCCAAUAUGGCAAUGGACGACUUGUCCAGUGGUCAACCCAACACAUCAUCUGUUACAAGCAAGGAUGAAGCCAUAAAGUGAGCAGAGAAACCUGGAAUUAGCUGCUGACCUAGCAACACUGAUUGUCGUCACAAGAAAUGUCAAAGGAGUGAUGUAAAAAUGAUUCAUGAAUUUUCCCACAGUGAAGACCAAAUUCGGCAGGUGUUUUCCUAGGCACCAGCACAUACACUAAAAUUGGAACGAUACAGAGAAGAAUGGCCCCUGCGCGAGGACGACACACAAAUUUGUGAAGCAUUCCAUAUUUUUUGGUGUUGGGAAAGUUGGAACAGCCACACGUAAAUCAAUGAAGUUAGAACAAACCCUCACACCAUGCACAAAAAUAAACUCAAAAUGGCUUAAAGACAAAUUUAAGACAUGACACCAUAAAAUUCCUAGAAGAGAACAUAGGCAAAACAUUCUUGGACAUAAAUCGUACCAAUGUUUUCUUAGGUCAGUCUCCCAAGGCAAUAGAAAUAAAAGCAAAAAUAAACAAAUGGGACCUAAUCAAACUUAUAAGCUUUUGCACAGCAAAGGAAACCAUAAACAAAACAAAAAGACAACUUACGGACUGGGAGAAAAUAUUUGCAAAUGAUGUGAUUGAUAAGGGCUUAAUUUCCAAAAUAUACAAACAGCUCAUACAACUCAAUAACAACAACAAAAAAUAACCCAAUCAAAAAAUGGGCAGAAGACCUAAAUAGACAUUUCUCCAAAGAAGAUAUACAGAUGGCCAAUAGGCACAUGAAAAGAUACUCAUCAUUGUUAAUUAUUAGAGAAAUGCAAAUCAAAACUACAAUGAGGUACCACCUCACGCCAGUCAGAAUGGCCAUCAUUAAAAAGUCUACAAAAAAAUAAUAAAAUAAGAUAAUUAAAAAAUAAAAGAAAAUGAUCAGAAAAACCUAGGGUCAAGACGGGAAUAAAGAUGCAGACCUACUAGAGAAUGGACUUGAAGAUAUGGGGAGGGGGAAGGGUAAGUUGGGACAAAGUGAGAGAGUGGCAUGCAGAUAUAUACACUACCAAAUGUAAAAUAGAUAGCUAGUGGGAAGCAGCUGCAUAGCACAGGGAGAUCAGCUCUGUGCUU